CGACGACCUUCGGGAGCUUGCACAGGUGCUGCAUGGCUGUCGUCAGCUCGUGUCGUGAGAUGUUCGGUUAAGUCCGCUAACGAGCGCAACCCUCGCUGUGUGUUACAAGUGUCACACGGUACUGCCGGUCUUAAGCCGGAGGAAGGUGGGGAUGACGUCAAGUCAGCAUGGCCUUUAUGUCCUGGGCUACACACACGCUACAAUGGCCAACACAAUAGGUUGCUAAGCCGCGAGGUGGAGCCAAUCCUCAAAGUUGGUCUCAGUUCAGAUUGCAGGCUGCAACCCGCCUGCAUGAAGAUGGAGUUGCUAGUAACCGCAGGUCAGCUAUACUGCGGUGAAUACGUUCCCGGGGCUU
rnacentral:rRNA from 1 species